CUACGGAGGAUGCAAGCGUUAUCCGGAUUUAUUGGGUUUAAAGGGUGCGCAGGCGGCCAUUUAAGUCAGCGGUUAAAUCGUGGGGCUCAACCCCAUUCUGCCGUUGAUACUGGGUGGCUUGAUUGCGGUCGAGGUUGGCGGAAUUCGUUGUGUAGCGGUGAAAUGCAUAGAUAUGACGAAGAACACCGAUUGCGUAGGCAGCUGACCAGAUCGCAAAUGACGCUCAUGCACGAAAGUGCGGGGAUCGAACAGGAUUAGAUACCCUGGUAGUCCGCACAGUAAACGAUGAAUACUUGUUUUCGGCGAUAUAAUGUCGGAGGCAAAGCGAAAGCGAUAAGUAUUCCACCUGGGGAGUACGCCGGCAACGGUGAAACUCAAAGGAAUUGACGGGG
rnacentral:rRNA from 1 species